UCGUUGGGAGGAAGGUCUUGCUGCGAGUUCUUGUCAGAAGACAUUAUAACAACCUGCACGAAGAACAUAAUAGUUAGCCUAAAUUAUGUUAAGUUGGCAAAAGUCGAUUCAGACUUCAGGGAAUCGAACUAGUAUAAGGGAAGUCGACCGCAUAAGUCGAUCCCAAGGAAAUCGAUCUCAUAAGUCGAUCCCAGGGAAGUCGACCUUCAGGAGACAAGGGUCUCAGGAAGUCGAUCCCAAUAAAUUCGAACCAAGGGGAAUCACUUCGGGAAAGCAAAGGCUAAACCCAUGGAAGUCGAUCCCAGUAAAAAUGGAUCCAACUUUGGAAAGUCGAUGACAAGGCGUCAAACUUUAGAAAGUCGGACCACAGUCCAAAGGGGAACAACUUCGAAAAAGGACCAACUUUUAAAAAAAAGUCAGACCCCAAGGAAGUCGAACCCGGUGCAACCUCAGAAGAGUCCGACGAUAAAAAGUCGGACUCCAGAAAGCUGCACCUCCCAGGCUCAAAUCGAAGCCUUACGCGCGCUGAAGUCGAAGCGGAGAAGCUGAAUGUCGAAGCGAAAAAACUGAAAGUCGAUGCGCAGAAAGUCAAUCAGUCGGAGCGAAGGAAGGAAGUGGGAAACAAGUGAACCCCCCUCCGCUAUUUAUAGGGGAAAGUCGAAGACGAACCGUCGCGGGCACUGUUCAUCCGGAUUCACCCGUUGGGCCGAAAAGCCCACGGGUCCGGCAGGCCCAAGACGACCCAGUCCGAGAAAAGUUCCAAAAUCCGACCAGAUGACAUCGACAUUUCAGGACAAAGGCAUCAACAUUUACCAAGGAAUUCGAAACCUUCAAAAUAGAAGGUCAGGAUCGACAUUCCAAUGAAAAUUCAGUUCGACAUUCCCAGAAGGGGGAUAGACGUCGACAUUUACCAAGGAAUUCGAAACCUUCAAAGUAAAAGGUCAGGAUCGACAUUCCACAGAAAAUUCAGUUCGACAUUCCCAGAAGGGGGAUAGACGUCGAUAUUUACCAAGGAAUUCGAAACCUUCAAAAUAGAAGGUCAGAAUCGACAUUCCAGCAUUAUUCUGAUCGACAUCUUUAGAAAAAGAUGAGAUCGACUUUUGAACAACAUCGACAUUUACAGGAAAAAUGAGAUCGACUUGUUAAAAAUUCGACAUCUUCAGAAAAUAAUAGAAUCAGCAGUCAAACGACAUCGACAUCCUCAGCAAAAGAUGCGAUCGACUUUUGAACAACAUCGACAUUUCCAGAGAGAAAUGAGAUCGACUUGUUGUUAAAACUUCGACAUCUUCAGAAAAGGAUAGAAUCAGCAGUCACACGACAUCGACAUCUUCAAAAAAAGAUGCGAUCAACUUUUGAACAACAUCGACAUUUUCAGGGAGAAAUGAGAUCGACUUGUUGUUAAAGCUUCGAUCCAGCUUUUCAAUCUCUCUCCGAAUAAAAUCAACAAAGAGACUCACAAGAAGAGCCAUGGAUGAAGGAAAAUGAGGACCUAAGGGUUCUAUUUAUAAACCCUAGGACAGCACAAAAGGACAAAAAAAGGAGUAAAAUCGACUUUUUGGCACAAUGACUCGACUUUUGGACCAAAGCAUCAGGAAUCGACUUUUUCACAAGGGAAGCGAUGCAAAGACUCAGGGAUCGACUUUUUGAAAAAAGUCAACGAAAAACAUUGGGAUCGACAUUUCACAAAAGUCGACCAAACUCAACAAGGGAUCGACUUUUUCUUCCCACGCAGAAGGGGUGCAGAAAAAAGAACCCUAACGAGUUGGAGUUGCGAAAGCGCACCAAGACAGGAGGGUGUAACACGAAAUGCUCCUGAGGAAUCGUGAAAGUCCACAACUCGGGCGACGAUACGGCAGCAAAAUGAACUGAGCCAUAUAAAGAUAUUUGAACUCAUACCAUUACUGGACGCAGUAACAAAGUAGGACGCCAAAUUAACUCUACCUACGGAAGAACGUGGGUAGAAAAGUCUUAAUGGUAACAGAGUUAGGAUACGUAUCCAACCCAAGAAAAAGAGUGAACCUCACCUACGGAAGAACGUAGGUUAGACAAGGGAAGUACUCAUGAGUGAACCUCACCUACGGAAACGUAGGUUAGACGGAGAUGUACUCAAAAGUGAACCCCACCUACGGAAAACGUAGGUUAGACGGGGGACGCAUUGGUUAAAGAGUGAACCUCACCUACGGAAAAACGUAGGUUAUACGAGGGAUUUACUCAAAAACGAACCCCACCUACGGAAGAACAUAGGUUAGACGGGGGACGCAGCGGCUAAACACACACCAUGUUCUACAAAAAACGUAAACAAAGGGGGGAAAGUAUUCAAGAGCAAACCUCACCUACGGAAGAACGUAGGUUAGACGAGGGAUAAGCUCAAAAAGUGAACCUUACCUACGGAUGAACGUAGAUAGACGAGGAAUCACACUCAGCCUCAGUCGCGGAAAGGCGAGCAAAAGGAGGGGGCAAGUAUUCAAAUAACAAUCCUCACCUACGGAUGAACGUAGGUAGACGAGGAAUCACACUCAACCUCAGUCGCAGAAAAGCGAGCAAAAGGAGGAGGCAAGUAUUCAAAAAAUAACCCUCACAUACGGACGAACGUGGGUAGACGAGGGAUCACACUCAACCCCUAUCCCAGAAAGGCGAGCAAAAAGAGGGGGUCGGGCACUCUCAAAACCCGCCACAGGGAAGAGAACCCAAACAGUGCUCAAAGAUAGCUCAGGCAAGGCGUCAAGGUGGGCAAGCAGGGUUCCGCGGGAAAAUCAGGCCAGACAGGUGCGCAAAGAGUAUGCUUCGGCUAGGACGAACCGGACAAUAGUUGGCAAAAGCGCGUGACAACCUCCGUGGAAGCAUAGAUACAACCUCGCAGGCGUAGAGAGGUGGGGAAUAUUGGUGAGAGAGGAUCUCGCAUCUUGGGACAUCACCAAAAACCCAUAUCCCAGCACGCAAAGAGGGGGGAAUACACUGAUAGUACAAGGUCCAAUACACAGACCAUAGUACUAAAAGACGUAUCCCAGAGUAUCUAAUACGCAGAGGAUGGGGGAGUACUGGUGAUACAGUAUCCCGAACACGGUCACAACCUACCAGCAACUAGAAGUCCGGAUAGCCUAAGAUGAGUUAAGGUAUCUAUUCUAGGGUUGGGGAGGUCCCAAGUCGAAUCCUAGGAAGAUCGACUUUCCUGAGGAUCGACUUCCCUGGGAUCGACUUCUGAAUAAAGUCGAUCACCAGGAAAGUCGACCCCCAGAAAGUCGAUCUCUGGAAAGUCGAUCUCGGAACCCAAUCUGAUCAGUUAGGCGGUUACUGCCCAAAUGACCAGAUUACCCCCAUAAGAACCCCUAUAAAUAGAAGGCACCCCCCACUCAUUAAAGGCAAGUCAUUUGGAGUAGAAGAAUUCCUACCGAAGCAGAGCUCUGCGCACUUGAGUUCCGGUCCGGUUUCCCGCGGAGUUUCCCGCUUGGCGCUUGCUUACGCGUUUUGAAGUAAUGGUCGGAUUUCACCCCCAUCAAAACCGAAAUAUGAAAUUGUAAAUGACAUCAAUAAUGGAAAACAAAAUGUCAUAUAGCCAAAAAUGUCAGUAAUUAAAACCAGCAGAAAUGAAGAGAAAAAACAUUUUGAAAAAAACCAUAAAUCACACAAUGAAUGAAAAAAACAAAAUUAGAAAUAAGAAAAUAUUGAAAUUAGAAAUUACAAAAAUGAAAACUAAAAUUUUGUUAAUCAAUAAAUUUAUUCGUAUAGUUAUUUAACAUAAUUUUCAUUUGGUUCAUAAACAUGAAAACAAAAAUGUCCGUAUUUAUCAGUAAAGUUUUCAGUAUUUUUCUCCUACAAAAGGUCUAUUCACUCCCUUAAUUUAACAUUGCAUUUAAAAUCAUGUGAGAUCUGUGUUUCAUUGUCAGAUGAAGAAAAAAAGAUGUUAGUUAUUGCUUGCAGUAAUCUGAAUAAUACUAUGAGAACACACUGAACAAUGAUGAUAAGUAAUAAGCUAAUAUUUGUAUUAUGUAAUGUAAAAUUUUAAGGAGCGAUGUCGUUUUUGACUUAUAAUUACAAUAUGAAUCUAUUGAUCUCACUCCAAUAUCUGGGUUUCAACCCCAAAAAUUUAAUUUUCUGUAAAAUUACAACAUGAACUAGUCACUAGUGUUUUAGAAAUUUUAUUAAUCAACAAAAUUUAUUCGUAUAGUUAGUUAACAGAAUUUUCAUUUGGUUCAAAAACAUGAAAACAAAUUUCAUCAAAUGCAUCACAGAGGUAGGACAAUGAACCAAGGAAGGACAAUGUAACACGGAAAAAAUCAGAAAGUAUAAUUUAACCUUGAAAUCAAGAAAGUAUAAUUUAACAGUACUAAGAAAAUUAACAGUAACAAAGAUAAUUUUAAUUGUUUUACAGUUGACAAAGUGCAAAACAAUCACCAAAAUGAGUUAUUAGAAUAACUCCAAUUUUCAGAUACAUUUCAAGCUCUAACACAGCAGCACUACCGCCUUCUUUUAACACUAAUCAAUACCUUAAUCGAUAUCAUUUUCGCAAAAAAAAAAAACUGAAAUCCAAAAUUUCAUAGCGUAAACAAAAAUAUUCUCAGCCAUCAGGCAUCCGAACGUAAUCAAAGGUACAAAAAUCAAUGAUUUAGCAAAAAAAAUACAGAAAAUAAUAAAGGAGGCUAAAAACAAAGCAGAGAUGAUUUCAGAAAAUUAAAACAAUGAAUCCAGGUCUUUGUCGAUUUUUGUAAAUCACAAACGUUGAACAGAAGAAGAAGAGAGUAAAUUAAAACAAUGAAAUACCUGUAUUGAAGAUUGGGGAGGCGGAGAUAAUUUCACUGCUGCAAGCCGGAGAAGCGUCGACAAGAAGUGUGGAUCUGAUAUAUAUAGGGAAAAGGAUUCCCUGUUUUGCGGAGACCGCUCAUACCGAACGCAAUGUUGGCAUCUGUAGAGUACCAACGGAUUUGGCUUUUCGCACAACCGCUGCUCGAGUUAUGCAUCUGGAUGUUGAAGAGUGGAGGCCGAUUGUUAUUUGAACACUGAACAAGAAAGAAAAGUUUAGGGUUUAUAUAUUAGUUAAG
rnacentral:lncRNA from 1 species